AUUGAACGCUGGCGGCAGGCCUAACACAUGCAAGUCGAGCGGAUGAAGGGAGCUUGCUCCUGGAUUCAGCGGCGGACGGGUGAGUAAUGCCUAGGAAUCUGCCUGGUAGUGGGGGAUAACGUCCGGAAACGGGCGCUAAUACCGCAUACGUCCUGAGGGAGAAAGUGGGGGAUCUUCGGACCUCACGCUAUCAGAUGAGCCUAGGUCGGACUAGCUAGUUGGUGGGGUAAAGGCCUACCAAGGCGACGAUCCGUAACUGGUCUGUGAGGAUGAUCAGUCACACUGGAACUGAGACACGGUCCAGACUCCUACGGGAGGCAGCAGUGGGGAAUAUUGGACAAUGGGCGAAAGCCUGAUCCAGCCAUGCCGCGUGUGUGAAGAAGGUCUUCGGAUUGUAAAGCACUUUAAGUUGGGAGGAAGGGCAGUAAGUUAAUACCUUGCUGUUUUGACGUUACCAACAGAAUAAGCACCGGCUAACUUCGUG
rnacentral:rRNA from 1 species